rnacentral:lncRNA from 1 species
CACCCAGCGUGCAGGGAACACUUGAUAAAGUUUAUCCACUUGUUAUAAGGGAUACAGGUGAACAGCCAGAUAGGCCCCCUGUAGUCUUCAACGUUUUCAGGUAGGGUGGCCUUGUACUUCCUGGGGCUUAGGUGAACAUCUCUGCUUAUUAUCUACAAUAUUGAAGAUACUACAGUAUGUUUUAAGUUACAAAAUAAAGAAUAAACUGUAUGUUUACCUAAGACAGGUGAGGAAAUGGAUUUUAAACUUCAUUUAGGUGAAUAGAAAUGUCAGACCUCAGUCCUACCUGCUCUGCUUCCCCAGGGCCUCUGCCCUCAUCUCCUGCUGUGUCCUCUGCUUGCUCACUUUCAGCCACAGGGGCCUCUUUCCUUUUCCUGGCCGGAGCUUGCUCCAGCCUCAGGGCCUUCACUGGGUCCUGUCUCUCUACCUAGCCCUCUACAUGGCCCCUGGGCUGCAGGUGGCCAACCCCUCAGGUCUAUGACAUCACCUGCUCCAUGGAGACUCCUUGAUCGCCCCCAGCUCCUGUCACACUCCAGCCACAACCUGCCCCCACUCUGGUCCAUGCAGCUUGCUGUGUCUGUCUCUUUCUCCUCCUUUACUGUCCACUACCUGGAUCCUGAUAAGAACAAGGGUCCAAGAGAUGGGCAGAGCCAGAAGGUGGGUGGUGGGCUGGGCCUGCCCCUCCGGGAGGUGCUCAACGUUGGCUUCCCAUGAGUGCUGAGGCAUUUUGCAAGCAGUCUGUCCACCUACUGGACAUCUCAUUGAUGGGUGCACAGCCUUAAUAAGUAAGGUUGAUUCUCUUCUGUGUGCAGCAUUGAGUACUCAGUCCUUUUAUUAUUUAUUUAUUUGUUUAUUAUGGUGCUGGGGAUGGAACAUAGGGGCACUUAACCAUUUAGGCACAUCACAUCCCCAGCCCUUUUUAUUUUGAGACAGGUUCUUGCUAAAUUGUGUAGGGCCUCACUAUGUUGCUGAAUCCUCCUUCCUUAGCCUCCCAAGUCACUGGGAUUACAGGCAUGCACCACCACAUCCAGAGCUGUGUACCUGGCUCUGUGUCCUCCAUCCUGAGGGCUGAGAUCCCAGGGGAAGUGAGGGGGGCUAUGCUGUAGUUCAGUUUGGUGAGAGCCAGACUGUGCCCUGAAGGGGAGCCCAGUGCUGCCCAGCUCCCCACUGCUGCAGCCUGUGUGUGGGCUUCACCAGGAGGGAGACCAGGCCCAAAGAAAGGAGUCAGAGAUGUCUCCUCUGGGCCUUCUUCCAGGGGUGUAUUGUGCCUGGGUCAGCCUGGAAGGGUGGGCAGCCAGGGACCAUCUUCUCACAUGCUGAGGUCCUCCCUGUGUGUGUGGCUGUGGCAUAGGAAGGAUGUGUUGAUUCUGAGCCUUAAACAGUAUGUUUCCUCCUUCCAGGAUUGACUUGUAAAGACUCGUGUUACCUGAGGAAACAGCCCUGAAGAGGAGGAGGAAAGAAAAGGAGUCAGGAAUGGCUGUCACUGAGGUACAGUGAUGCUCUCAGGUGGUCCUGAGUCCCCUGUGCAGUGCUGGGCCUGGGAGCUGCUGGCCUCAGGUGACUCUGCAGCCUCCUGCCUGUCAGGUGUGCCUGCACUCCCCCGGGGCCUCCCUUCCCCCAUCCUCUGUGCUCAGAUUCCAUCCCACUGAGACCUGUGGCAGGGAACCCAUGAAGAGGCACCACUGUUGUGUUCCUGGGAAGGAUUUCACAGCCUGGCAGGGUUGUGGCCUGUGAGGGCUUGUGUGUCAGUCCUGUUGGGCAGCAGGGAUCAU